rnacentral:rRNA from 1 species
UCUGUUGCUUACAAUCAGACUUCCGGGGAUACUGCUGGGCUAGGGACCGGAGAGCCCGGGGAAUUCCCGGGGUAGGGGUGAAAUCCUGUAAUCCCGGGAGGACCACCUGUGGCGAAGGCGCCCGGCUGGAACGGGUCCGACGGUGAGGGACGAAGGCCAGGGGAGCGAACCGGAUUAGAUACCCGGGUAGUCCUGGCUGUAAACGAUGCGGGCUAGGUGUCACCAGAGCCACGAGCUCCGGUGGUGCCGGAGGGAAGCCGUUAAGCCCGCCGCCUGGGAAGUACGGCCGCAAGGCUGAAACUUAAAGGAAUUGGCGGGGGAGCACUACAACGGGUGGAGCCUGCGGUUCAAUUGGAUUCAACGCCGGGAAGCUUACCGGGGGAGACAGCUGGAUGAAGGUCGGGCUGAAGACCCUACCAGACUAGCUGAGAGGUGGUGCAUGGCCGCCGUCAGUUCGUACUGUGAAGCAUCCUGUUAAGUCAGGCAACGAGCGAGACCCGCGCCCUCAGUUGCCAGCGGAUCCCUUCGGGGAUGCCGGGCACACUGAGGGGACUGCCGGCGCUAAGCCGGAGGAAGGUGCGGGCAACGGCAGGUCCGUAUGCCCCGAAUCCCCCGGGCUACACGCGGGCUACAAUGGCCGGGACAAUGGGUACCGACCCCGAAAGGGGUAGGUAAUCCCCUAAACCCGGUCUAACCUGGGAUCGAGGGCUGCAACUCGCCCUCGUGAACCUGGAAUCCGUAGUAAUCGNNCCUCAAAAUGGCGCGGUGAAUACGUNCCUGCUCCUUGCACACACCGCCCCGUC